rnacentral:tRNA from 1 species
UGGGUGUAGCUCAGUGGUAGGGUUCUUACUUGCCUAGUAUGUGUGAGGCCCUGGGUUCAAUCCCCAGCAUGUUAG